rnacentral:rRNA from 1 species
GAUGAACGCUGGCGGCGUGCCUAAUACAUGCAAGUCGAGCGAACAGACGAGGAGCUUGCUCCUCUGACGUUAGCGGCGGACGGGUGAGUAACACGUGGAUAACCUACCUAUAAGGCUGGGAUAACUUCGGGAAACCGGAGUUAAUACCGGAUAAUAUAUUGAACCGCAUGGUUCAAUAGUGAAAGACGGUUUUGCUGUCACUUAUAGAUGGAUCCGCGCCGCAUUAGCUAGUUGGUAAGGUAACGGCUUACCAAGGCAACGAUGCGUAGCCGACCUGAGAGGGUGAUCGGCCACACUGGAACUGAGACACGGUCCAGACUCCUACGGGAGGCAGCAGUAGGGAAUCUUCCGCAAUGGGCGAAAGCCUGACGGAGCAACGCCGCGUGAGUGAUGAAGGUCUUCGGAUCGUAAAACUCUGUUAUUAGGGAAGAACAAAUGUGUAAGUAACUAUGCACGUCUUGACGGUACCUAAUCAGAAAGCCACGGCUAACUACGUG